GUUGAUUUUUUUUAUGCGUGUUCUUUAACUGUUAAGAAAUAUUCUUAUUGUUAUUAUAGUCAUUGGCAGCAGAUUAUUUGCAGCAAUGCAUUCCUCAAAUCCAAUUGCGCAAACACAAGAAUACAAUAUUAGAAAAUAUGAUAUGGAUCGGAUGAGGAUUUGUAGGAAAUAAAUUAUGAAGUUAAUGAUGAAUGUGAUAAUGUAGACAACUUGGAUGUUGGUGUACAAAAUGAACCAGUUAAUGUCAUAUCGCGAGCAUGAUGGUUGUAUACUU